AUUGAACGCUGGCGGCAGGCCUAACACAUGCAAGUCGGGCGGAUGAAGGGAGCUUGCUCCUGGAUUCAGCGGCGGACGGGUGAGUAAUGCCUAGGAAUCUGCCUGGUAGUGGGGGAUAACGUCCGGAAACGGGCGCUAAUACCGCAUACGUCCUGAGGGAGAAAGUGGGGGAUCUUCGGACCUCACGCUAUCAGAUGAGCCUAGGUCGGAUUAGCUAGUUGGUGGGGUAAAGGCCUACCAAGGCGACGAUCCGUAACUGGUCUGAGAGGAUGAUCAGUCACACUGGAACUGAGACACGGUCCAGUCUCCUACGGGAGGCAGCAGUGGGGAAUAUUGGACAAUGGGCGAAAGCCUGAUCCAGCCAUGCCGCGUGUGUGAAGAAGGUCUUCGGAUUGUAAAGCACUUUAAGUUGGGAGGAAGGGCAGUAAGUUAAUACCUUGCUGUUUUGACGUUACCAACAGAAUAAGCACCGGCUAACUUCGUG
rnacentral:rRNA from 1 species